GGCGAACGGGUGAGUAAUGCAUCGGAACAUGUCCAUUCGUGGGGGAUAGCCCGGCGAAAGCCGGCAUUAAUACCGCAUACGCCCUGAGGGGGAAAGCGGGGGACUUCGCAAGAGGCCUCGCGCGAAUGGGUUGGCCGAUGUCCGAUUAGCUAGUUGGUGGGGUAAAGGCUUACCAAGGCGAUGAUCGGUAGCUGGUCUGAGAGGAUGAUCAGCCACGCUGGGACUGAGACACGGCCCAGACUCCUACGGGAGGCAGCAGUGGGGAAUUUUGGACAAUGGGGGAAACCCUGAUCCAGCCAUUCCGCGUGACGUGAAGAAGGCCUUCCGGGUUGUAAACGCUCUUUUGUCCGGAACGAAACCGGUUAGCGUGAAUAUCGCUGACUACUGACCGGUCACCCGGAACGAACUAAGCACCCGGCUAACUACGUGCCAGACGCCGC
rnacentral:rRNA from 1 species